rnacentral:rRNA from 1 species
UACAGAGGGGUGCGAGCGUUGUCCGGAAUCACUGGGCGUAAAGGGCGCGUAGGUGGCGUCGCAAGUCGAUGGUGAAAGCUCGGCGCUCAACGCCGAGUCGGCCCUUGAUACUGCGAGGCUGGAGCACUGUAGAGGCAGAUGGAAUUCCGGGUGUAGCGGUGGAAUGCGUAGAGAUCCGGAAGAAGCACCGGUGGCGAAGGCGGUCGCUGGGCACAU